UACGUAGGGUGCAAGCGUUGUCCGGAAUUAUUGGGCGUAAAGGGCUCGUAGGCGGUCUGUCACGUCGGGAGUGAAAACUCAGGGCUUAACCCUGAGCCUGCUUCCGAUACGGGCAGACUAGAGGUAUGCAGGGGAGAACGGAAUUCCCGGUGUAGUGGUGGAAUGCGUAGAUAUCGGGAGGAACACCAGUGGCGAAGGCGGUUGCCUGGAGCUUUGCUGACGCUGAGGCGCGAAAGCGUGGGGAGCGAUCCGG
rnacentral:rRNA from 1 species